rnacentral:lncRNA from 1 species
AAGUAGGAAGAACACACAAUUUCCCAUAAGGAAUCACAUUUCCUUCCAUUUCAGCAGAAAAGGCUGCUCUCACUUGUGUGUGAGCUCAGCCAUAUCCUUCCUGAUAGGUAACACAGACAUGAGCAGUGGAAAUAUGAAGUUAAGGGAAUAGUUCUGCAAACUGGUUCCACUAUGCUGACCCUGCUCCCAACCCACAUGUGCUUUCUUUCAAAAAGCAAUUUGCCUGCAACACUGCCUGGCUUCAGUCAAUAGGCUAUGUUGCAUUUCUCAGCAAACACCCUUUUAUCUGCAAGAGAAAUGCAGGCCCGAAAUGCUGACAAGAACACGUUCCCCAGAAGGGUGGUGGACUUUUGCUAUGCAUUCACAGCCAGAUUCCAGAACUUAGGGAGCUGAGGAUAAUUUCCCCGACCCAUAAAUGCUGAAUUAAAACUGGUCAGCAAAGGCCAAAGUGAAAUGGAGUUGCCUUGGACGUGUUACCAAGAGCAUUAGGGACUUAGAAGCCUGAUGCAAUCCUGUUGUCAGUCAAAAGUCAAAAGGUGGCGCUGGGUGGGACUAUAGAAUCUUCUCUGGGGACCUCCAAUGAAACUAGAGGGCAGGAGGGCUAUAUUGUCCUUUCUGAGAGAACCCACUCUAUCCCUUGAGAGUGUCCCCUUGCCCCCUUUCCUAGCUCUCUGCUAAAAUUUGCUAUUCUUUUAUGGCAUCCUCUCAAGCACGAACAUGAGAAGCUAGGGUACAGACCUCUGCAGCUGCCUCCCUCAGGUUCUGCAGGUGGGUCUCUUUUGCAACACUUCCCACACACGCUCAUGCGUGUAUGGCCAAGUAGUGUUUUGAGGUAUAGUUUUAUGUACCCUGUAUUUCCGUCUCCUCCCCAACUCCUAUGUAUCAGGUAGUGAUCACUCUGUACCUAUUAAUGUGGGUAAAGCAUGCUGUAAACUGUAAUUUUUUUCUUUCUUUCUUUUUUUUUUUUUUUGUACUUGGGACUGAACCCAGAGGUGCUUAACCACGGAGCCACAUCCCCAGCCCUUUUAUAUAUUUUAUUUAGAGACAGGAUCUUGCUAGGUUGCUUAGGCCUUGCUGAAUUGUUGAGGCUGGGUUUGAACUUUCCAUCCUCCUGUUUCAGCCUCCCAAGUUGCUGGGAUUACAGGCAUGUGCCACCGCGCCUGGCCAAUGUAAGCAGUAUUUUCAACUGCUGCUUCUCACUUAGCUGCCCUCCUAUGGAAGAAUUGUGGCUCACAUUCUUAGGCUGUCUAUCCUAGUGCAUAAUCUGCACAGGAUACACUCUAUCUGCUGAAGGUCCCACCAUGUAGGAGUAAGACUGAAAUUUCCCCUUCUUCCUCUUCCCCAAACCAGGGGCUUCCAACCAAUUGUGGUGCAUUUUCUGCUUGCUUUCUGUUCUUUGCCUGAGUGCAUAAUCACGAAUAUGUCUCCUUUCUACAAAAAGUGGGAUGGUGCUUAUGUUUAUUACCUCAUGGGGACAAGGGGUACACUUUCUCGAUGGUGGUGCUCCACAAAUACACAGAGUCAAAUUGGCAGAAGAGUGGGUUGUAUGCAAGCCAGCUCUAGAGAGGGAUAGAGAAAAUAUUUUUUUCACAGUCUUCAGAAGACUCAAGGGUGAGGAAAGCUGUUGGGACAAAAGUACAUAAGCAGAUGUAGCUAGGUUGUGUUAUGCCAGGCUGCUAGCUGGGGCAGGGGGUGACCAGUUCCCUGCAUGAGAAGUGAAGACAAUUUGGAGCUUUAAUUCUUAGUGUGUGGGGCCACCCCUGAGCUAUUUAGUGUCAUCUUUCAGCCUUGAGCCAAAGAGAUUUGGGUCUGGCUUUGCACGCUGUUUUGUGGCCCCUCCCACUUGAUGGAUUGCCGCAGAUACAUGUGGCCUUUACCUCCGCUGGGCUAAGGAGUCUGCUUUCUCAGAGCUCUGGAUCUGGAUAUUACCCCUUGCCUUAUUUGGUGAAGAACACUCCAUCGAAAUUUUUUUUUAAGCCCCCUUGUAUAAAUAAAGGAAACACAGGUUCUCACAUUCUCUUUUUCCAGUGUGGAAGCUUGGCCUGUAAGUACAAAGAGCCAUCCUGCCCCCACUUUAUAAAAACCUGUGGUCUUUUCGCCACCAGCCUACUCCACGCAGAGGGGCCCUGUUUCCAUGGCAUGCACGGGAUGUGGGCAGGAUCUCAGUAUGUGGAAGUUGCCCUUAAUUUCAGAGGGAUUCUGUUUCAUGCGCACUGGCAUACCUCAAGAUCUUACCCAUCAGUGCCUGUUUUGCUGUCUUUGAUGACUGAACAGGGUUUCUGUCAUGUCAUUUCUGCUAGAUCAGGUGUUUUUUUGUGUUUUUUUUUUUUUAGUACCAGGGAUUGAACUCAGGGACACUCAACCACUGAGCCACAUCCCCAGCCCUAUUUUUUUUUUUUUUCUAAAGGCAG